UGGGGAAUUUUGGACAAUGGGCGAAAGCCUGAUCCAGCCAUGCCGCGUGAGUGAAGAAGGCCUUCGGGUUGUAAAGCUCUUUUGUCAGGAAGGAAAACUUUCGUGCUAAUACUACGGAAGGAUGACAGUACCUGAAGAAUAAGCACCGGCUAACUACGUGCCAGCAGCCGCGGUAAUACGUAGGGUGCGAGCGUUAAUCGGAAUUACUGGGCGUAAAGCGUGCGCAGGUGGUUUUGUAAGCUUGAUGUGAAAUCCCCGGGCUCAACCUGGGAACUGCAUUGAGGACUGCAAGACUAGAGUGUGGCAGAGGGGGGUGGAAUUCCACGUGUAGCAGUGAAAUGCGUAGAGAUGUGGAGGAACACCGAUGGCGAAGGCAGCCCCCUGGGCUAACACUGACACU
rnacentral:rRNA from 1 species